rnacentral:rRNA from 1 species
UGCGUAGGCGGAAAAUUAAGUCAGUAAUGAAAUCCUGCAGCUUAACUGUAGAACUGUUAUUGAUACUGGUUUUCUUGAAUACAGUUGAGGCAGGCGGAAUGUGUAAUGUAGCGGUGAAAUGCUUAGAUAUUACACAGAACACCGAUUGCGAAGGCAGCUUGCUAAACUGUGAUUGACGCUCAGGCACGAAAGCGUGGGUAGCAAACAGGAUUAGAUACCCUGGUAGUCC